GAAAGCAAGGGGCAAAUGAUAUUCAAAGAAAAAAAAUAGGUAUUUGCUAUAGAAUGGACUGAUGGGUAUAGUGGAUACAGCGAUGGCUGAGGUUUUUAAAACCCAGUGACAAAGAAUAUGAGAGUGUCACAAAUGGAAAAAGAAGCUGGUGUGCGUGGGCAGAUAAUGAGUUGUUUUCUACUUGUCAGUUCUGAGGUGCUGCUGGUGGGACAUUGAAGUGGAAGCAUCCCACAGCUGGAAAUUUGGAACUGGAGGUCUGGAAAGAGGACAUUGGUUUGACACUCACUCAUGGAUGAAAGUACUUUUGUGGGAGUCCAGAAGUCCAGUGAGGAAGUUCCAGCAUUCUUUUGGAUCAAAAAAAAAAAAAUCAGAGAUUGGGUGCAUUGAAGAGGGAAGCAGCUUCUGACCCUCAGCGGUGCUGACCAGGGAGGCAGUAGUGGCCGGAAAAGCAGAAAAGAACAAAAGACUGACCAUCCUCAAGCAAGAGGGAAUUCUGUCAACAGACGGCAUUUGCAACAUGGGUUCUUCCCUGGGUUUCCAUACGGAUGACCUUCAAACUGGAAAUGCAACAUGGGAUUUUCUCUGGAUCUCCAGACUGCCAGCUUAUCCUGCAAAUUUUGGAUUUGGCAGUCUCCAUGAUCAUGUAGCCAAUUACUCAAAAUAAAUCUAUACAUAAAUA